rnacentral:misc_RNA from 1 species
UCGUAACAAGGUCUCCGUUGGUGAACCAGCGGAGGGAUCAUUACCGAGUUUACAACUCCCAAACCCCUGUGAACAUACCUAUACGUUGCCUCGGCGGAUCAGCCCGCGCCCCGUAAAACGGGACGGCCCGCCCGAGGACCCCUAAACUCUGUUUUUAGUGGAACUUCUGAGUAAAACAAACAAAUAAAUCAAAACUUUCAACAACGGAUCUCUUGGUUCUGGCAUCGAUGAAGAACGCAGCAAAAUGCGAUAAGUAAUGUGAAUUGCAGAAUUCAGUGAAUCAUCGAAUCUUUGAACGCACAUUGCGCCCGCCAGUAUUCUGGCGGGCAUGCCUGUUCGAGCGUCAUUUCAACCCUCAAGCUCAGCUUGGUGUUGGGACUCGCGGUAACCCGCGUUCCCCAAAUCGAUUGGCGGUCACGUCGAGCUUCCAUAGCGUAGUAAUCAUACACCUCGUUACUGGUAAUCGUCGCGGCCACGCCGUUAAACCCCAACUUCUGAAUGUUGACCUCGGAUCAGGUAGGAAUACCCGCUGAACCUAAGCAUAUC